rfam:Schistosoma haematobium scaffold1268_26, whole genome shotgun sequence.
AUCCAGCUGACGAGUCCCAAAUGAGAUGAAACACGCAUCCUGCAU